rnacentral:rRNA from 2 species
AACGAACGCUGGCGGCAGGCUUAACACAUGCAAGUCGAGCGCCCCGCAAGGGGAGCGGCAGACGGGUGAGUAACGCGUGGGAAUCUACCCAUCUCUACGGAAUAACGCAUGGAAACGUGUGCUAAUACCGUAUACGUCCUUCGGGAGAAAGAUUUAUCGGAGAUGGAUGAGCCCGCGUUGGAUUAGCUAGUUGGUGGGGUAAAGGCCUACCAAGGCGACGAUCCAUAGCUGGUCUGAGAGGAUGAUCAGCCACACUGGGACUGAGACACGGCCCAGACUCCUACGGGAGGCAGCAGUGGGGAAUAUUGGACAAUGGGCGCAAGCCUGACCCAGCCAUGCCGCGUGAGUGAUGAAGGCCCUAGGGUUGUAAAGCUCUUUCACCGGUGAAGAUAAUGACGGUCACCGGAGAAGAAGCCCCGGCUAACUUCGUGCCAGCCGCCGCGGUAA